rnacentral:lncRNA from 1 species
UUGUCGGCGAGAGUAUUCCACCCAUUAGGCCAAAGCAUGCUUCCCCAAACUCGAAAGAUUUUUCGACCACUUCGGUUAUUCAACGUUCCGUUUUGGGACCAUCCGAGUUUCCUUUAAUCAAACUCACGCUUUAUUAUUUUCAAUCUUUUGUCAAUUUUGAACCAUUUUGAGAAUUCACUUUUGCGCAUGCAUCAUGCUAUUACUUUUCAUACGAUUAUACAUUAUUUGCAUGCAUAUUUUCACGUAAUUUUAUUUACAUUUUUGUAACGAGUGGAGACAUAUCAUCGAGAUAGGAGUGAUUUCCUUACCUUGACGAUUAACUCCGCUUUAUUUCUCACCUUACAACGACCUCACCAACGAGUUAGGGGUGAUUCCCUUACCUAGGUGAUCGUUACCAAUGCUUUCCUCUAAUAGGCUAUAUUAUGUAAACACAAUCAUGGUACGAAGUCGUCAACUUAGGGGUGAAACCCGCACCUUGUCGACUAGUUCCACUCCUUGA